GGAAGCGUGGCCGAGCGGUUUAAGGCACUAGUCUUGAAAACUAGCGAUGGGGCGACUCGUCCGUGAGUUCGAAUCUCACCGCUUCCGCCA
rnacentral:tRNA from 1 species